AGAGUUUGAUCCUGGCUCAGAUUGAACGCUGGCGGCAGGCCUAACACAUGCAAGUCGAGCGGUAGAGAGAAGCUUGCUUCUCUUGAGAGCGGCGGACGGGUGAGUAAUGCCUAGGAAUCUGCCUGGUAGUGGGGGAUAACGUUCGGAAACGGACGCUAAUACCGCAUACGUCCUACGGGAGAAAGCAGGGGACCUUCGGGCCUUGCGCUAUCAGAUGAGCCUAGGUCGGAUUAGCUAGUUGGUGAGGUAAUGGCUCACCAAGGCGACGAUCCGUAACUGGUCUGAGAGGAUGAUCAGUCACACUGGAACUGAGACACGGUCCAGACUCCUACGGGAGGCAGCAGUGGGGAAUAUUGGACAAUGGGCGAAAGCCUGAUCCAGCCAUGCCGCGUGUGUGAAGAAGGUCUUCGGAUUGUAAAGCACUUUAAGUUGGGAGGAAGGGCAGUUGCCUAAUACGUAACUGUUUUGACGUUACCGACAGAAUAAGCACCGGCUAACUCUGUGCCAGCAGCCGCGGUAAUACAGAGGGUGCAAGCGUUAAUCGGAAUUACUGGGCGUAAAGCGCGCGUAGGU
rnacentral:rRNA from 1 species